AGAAGAGAGAUCAGUAGAGUAGAGCAAGUAGAUCAGGAGAAAGGAGGUGGGAAGGGUAAGGGAAGUUACCAGGGAAUGAAAUUAAUUAAAUUAUGUGCAUGUAUGAAUAUUGCAGAAUGAAUCCCACUAUUAUGUAUAUUUGUAAUGCACUAAUAAAAAUAAAUAAUGAAAUAAAAGUAGGAAUCCAUGAGUUCAUGUAGAUACAAAAAAUAAAUAAAUGUGAUAAGAAAAAGUUCCUUCUUAUAGAAGAAUGAUUACUAAUGACUGUACAAACAAUGAUGGAGUUAGAAAAACUACUUUUUGAUAAUCAUAGUAAUUGCUUCAGGAAAAUAUUAUCAAAGGAUACUAUAGAGGAUUGAUUGGUAGCUCCAAAAAAUUGUAUCCAUGUUCUUGUCCUCAGGAUGUCGGAAUGUUAUCUUGUUUGGAAAAGGCUUUUUGCUUAGGGCCUCGCUAAGUUGCUGAACCUGGCUUUGAAAUUGUGAUCCUCCUGCCUCAGCCUCCUGAGCUGCUGGGAUUCCAUGCCCAGCAGGAAUUUACAGUCCUAAAGGACCUACAAAAUACAUACUAAUUAUGAAAGAAAAUAUAGUAACAUUGGCCCAAACUGGC
rnacentral:lncRNA from 1 species